rnacentral:tRNA from 1 species
GGGUGCAUAGCUCAGUUGGUCAGAGCGCUUCCCUUACAAGGAAGAGGCCGACGGUUCAAGUCCGUCUGUACCCA